UUGGUUUAGAAAUCAGUAAACAUCCUAGGAACAAAGGUAAUACUCAAACUCCCCAUGGAAGAUCUCUCAGACUGUAAGAAGAGUCCUGGGUUGGGGCCAGAUUACUGCUGCUCAGCUCAAGGGAUGCGUCUGUAAGAUCAGCACCAUGGAAAGAGUCUCAGAUAAAAUGGCAGGGGAGUGUUCCCAGGUACAAUGUAUGACUCAUUGUAAGUGUUGCUGUGUUAAACCUGAGGGAUGCUGAGAGAAACAACUGCCUCCAAAUGUAAGUGGAAAUUGAACUUAAUACUCUAAUCACCAUAAAUUGUAGUGAUUAUUUGUGUAAAACCAUAAAUGUACACUAUGACUAAAUGAGUCAUUUGCAGAACAUCUUUUCAGUUAUUAACUUGGCAUAAAUACUAGUCCCCAAAGACUAAGUUGAACACUAAUCACUUGGAGGCUUCAAGGACCUUUUGUAAUCCGAGUGUCAUAUUUACAUAUGGUAAUUUCCCCCACCCCCGCGGUAGCUGAGCAGGGCAGUAAUGUAUGACCAGGCAUGCUGUAACAAGGUUUUCAUCUCUCCUCCCAAUCCUUCCCACUUCAUUCCCAAUUUGAGCUUCAUUAAAACUCCUCAGAACUUGGUCUGUUUGACAAGAAGGCAAAACGAGCCCUGAAAGGCUGACACCCGCUCCGCAGCUGCCUGCUGGGUCAGCUCAUUAAGAGUCCUGAUUGUAGAGCCCAUCCACAGUGGUCCGGCCAUGGGUCAGAGAAGGCAGGACUCCUGAGAGCCAAGAAGCAGACUGCACCUCAUUACAGAUCCAUUUCCCCUUGGACGCAUCAUUCUCCACUGCCCACUACAGCUCCUCCAGCUCCCGUGCAGACUUGGUGUUCACCAGGCCAGGGUGGAGCUGUCAUCCUGUAGUCUCCCUUUGCUGCUUCCUGGGCUGGACCCCUGUUUCCUGGACUUCAUAUGUCUCAUGGUUUACUCCCUCAUUUUGCUGAAGUAUAUUAUUCAAUAGCUUCUUCAGAAAGGGCACCAGCGAGUGACACAUGCUGGUGAUGUGUGAAAGCCUCCAGUACCUGACAUAAAAGGCAAAGAGGACUCGCUUUUCCUGGUCAUCCAUCACCAAUACGUAGCCUCUGAGGGUCUGAGCCUCCUCUGGGAAGACUCCAAGGCUGGAGCUGGAAUCAUCUGGAUGCUUCUUCACUUAACUGUUUAGAUCCUCGCUUGGGCUGCUGACUAGAAUAUCUGCCUACCCGUGGGCUCUCCACUUGGGCUGCGCCUUUGCACUUCCUCGUAGCAUGGCAGCUGCAUUCAAAGGGCUGCAUUCCAAGAGAGCAGAGCAGAGUGUGUGGCAUGUUUACAGUGCAGCCUCAGAAGUUACAUGGCGUCCUUUGCUGUUCUCAGUUGGGGAGGGAGGUGCCGUGUCGCUGUAGCUCUCUGUGGAAAGUACCACCUGCCAUAACACACUGACGAGUUUGCUGCUUGCUUUUGCAGUAUUUCAUUGACAUCCCUAAAAGUCAGUAAAGAUGCAAUUCUUCCAUCUUUCUCAUUUCUUUAUAAUUACUUUCAAUUCCAAAAGUAAUAGAAGUACAGUAACAAAAUUUGGAAAACAUGAAAGAAAAAUCUAUCCAAAACGCCCCUCCUUCAACCAAUCACAGUAAUUAUUUUUAGACGUUUUAUUCCAUAAUUUCUUCACAAUAUACAGAGUUUUAUUAAGUUUUUUUUUAAUUUCCCCUUAAUAUAUAAGCCCCUCAAAUUCACGUCUCAGCACCAAGUUACCUUCUUUAUUUUUCUUAUGUGGACAAAGCAAAAAUAAGAGUGGCGUACACCAUGGGAUAAAGUCCUCAGGUAGGAUUUUGCUCAGCCCGGUCCUACUGACAACCGCUAGGAAAAAUCACAUCAAGGCUUUCAAGCCGUCCCUCUUCUUUCUCUGAGGGGCAUACAGCAGAGAUGUUACAUUAACACGGAUUCUGGAAGAGGAAAGUCAUGAGUGAGCCAACCCUUCUGCCACACUUGCAUCAGGGACAAGCAGGCAACCCACCCUGAUGUGGAAGACCCAGCUUGUGACUGUUCACUCAGUAUUUUGCUACAAAAGCUUCGUUUUGGAAUUCCAACAGAGUACAUGGAUCUCACAAAGUUCAGCAAAACCCACAUCUCCCAAACACUACUUCAAACUGUCACUAGUUUUCACUGGCCUGCUAUGAAAUGAGAAAGAUAACGACAAGUGGGUGAGUUUUUCAUAAAGCUAAAUGGAUUCCAUUUUUUUAAGCUGGGCUUUAUUCUGAGAUCAUUCCUUUUUUCUUAAAUGUCAAUAUUCAUUUUCUAACAUAAGUCUGAUCAGAGAUUUGCUUAGCAUUCCUAAUUAGCAGAGUAAAAAGCUGGCUAUUUGAAAAUGAGUUUCAAUCAUUUGACUGAUCUGUGACAUCCCAAAGUCUGGGAAACUCUGGUCCAAUCCACCAGUCCAGUCUCCUUAUGAAGAGCCUUUGGGUUUGAUGUAUCGUAUUUGUCAAAAGAGAUUACCUUCUGAGGUGGAAAAAAAAAAUAACUGCUUGACACGAGAAGAGGAUGCAAAAGUCUGGAUUCUGCAUGUGAUGGUCCAGUUUGGUGGCAUUAAGCAUGUCAUUUAUGCUCAGAGCCUCUUCAGCCAUCGAAUCCAGUUAAUAACGCUAGCCUGCUCCCCUGCAGAGUGAGGAGGGGGUGAAAGGCUUAAUUGUUGGAAGUGCAGAUUGCUGUGUAAGUGCCGAGUGUCUCACUGCGCUGGUCCUGGGAGCUUCCCUCACAAAGGCUGCUCAGCGGGUACUUUAAUAGCUGGUGAAAAAACAUGAGGACGGAUACUCUAACGCCCCAAAUAUUUCCCUGGGAGUCCCUAAUUUCAGUGAGAAGAAUAUUCUCUAAUUAAAAUGCCGCCACAGAAACUUUUUUUUAAAACAAAUUGCCAUCUAAUUUCCCUUUGAUCCGUUUUUUUCCACUUGGGCUGCAAGGUUUUACAGAAUUUUCCCCAAACGCUUUGAGUCUGCAGUAAUUUUAUUUCAUUCUGAUUAAACUUCAAAGGAUAAAACACCAAGCCACCAGAAACAAGCUAAGCUUUUUCCACUU